UGGUUCUCCCCGGGCGGAAAUACAAUACAAUGGAGGAAAUGAAGAAUCUUAUGUGUGUGAUAGGGAGUGACGCAGAGAUGGAUGUUAUGUAGAAAUAUUCAGCCGACCCUCGGAAAAAUUGUUGCAUUUCCCAUAACAGCCGGUUUUACGCACCGGAAAUGACCGACUCGUUAUAGUGCAAUCGAACUGAAGCCAUAGCUGCAAGUCCUUGAUGCCGUAGUCGAAUGUGGCCAUAACACGGGAAAUAAAAGUGGAUCAUUGCCAAACAAUAACUCGCACACAAAUACAAWAACGGGUGGAAGCCAGCRUAUAACAGCAUAAAUUCCUAUAGCKACACACACACAUACAAAACUAGCGACGCGUGCAACGAGUUGACGUCAGCAACGCAAAUUAAAGCAUAACGCUUAGUUUGGAAAAAUCCAACCAGCGCAUUGACUCAUCGUAAGGCAAAGGAAAUAUAUGCCUUGUGAAAACGGAAUUCCAUGAAAAAUUAAUAGAAGCUUGAUUGAGUCCACACAGGUGAUAUACACUAGCAGCUUGAGUUAAGUCAGCGAG